rnacentral:rRNA from 1 species
GAACAAGUACCGUGAGGGAAAGGUGAAAAGCACCCUGAAUAAGGGAGUGAAAUAGUACCUGAAACCGUACGCUUACAAGCGGUUGGAGCCACCUUGUGUGGUGACAGCGUGCCUUUUGCAUAAUGAGCCUACGAGUUACUCCUCGUUAGCAAGGUUAAGUAUUUAAGAUACGUAGCCGAAGCGAAAGCAAGUCUGAAUAGGGC